rnacentral:rRNA from 1 species
GAUGAACGCUAGCGGCGCGCUUAAUGCAUGCAAGUCGAGCGAUGAGGCCCCUUCGGGGGCACAUCAGCGGCAGACGGGUGAGUAACACGUGGAUGACCUGCCCCGAAGACGAGGAUAACGGAUGGAAACAUCUGCUAAUACUCGAUGGUCUUGUACUGUCGCAGGUACAAGUAAAGCUCCGGUGCUUCGAGAGGGGUCCGCGGCCUAUCAGCUAGUUGGUAGGGUAACGGCCUACCAAGGCGAAGACGGGUAGGGGGUGUGAGAGCACGGCCCCCCACAAUGGACUGAGACACGGCCCAUACUCCUACGGGAGGCAGCAGCAGGGAAUAUUGCACAAUGGACGGAAGUCUGAUGCAGCGACGCCGCGUGGAUGAUGAAGGCCCUCGGGUUGUAAAAUCCUUUUCAGGGGGACGAGGAAGGACGGUACCCUUGGAAUAAGCGUCGGCUAACUACGUGCCAGCAGCCGCGGUAAGACGUAGGACGCGAGCGUUAUCCGGAUUUACUGGGCGUAAAGCGUCUGUAGGCGGAGUGGAAAGUUGAGCGUGAAAGCUCCGGGCUUAACCCGGAGAGGACGAGCAAUACUACCAAACUAGAGGGCAUCAGAGGAGCGUGGAAUUUCCGGUGUAGCGGUAAAAUGCGCAGAUAUCGGAAGGAACACCAGUGGCGAAGGCGGCGCUCUGGGAUGUACCUGACGCUAAGAGACGAAAGCUAGGGGAGCGAACAGGAUUAGAGACCCUGGUAGUCCUAGCCGUAAACGAUGGAUGCUAGGUGUAGAGCCGAGAGGCACUGUGCCGUAGCAAACGCGAUAAGCAUCCCGCCUGGGGACUACGGCCGCAAGGCUAAAACUCAAACGAAUUGACGGGGCCCCGCACAAGCAGCGGAGCGUGUGGUUUAAUUCGAUGCUACACGAAGAACCUUACCUGGGUUUGACAUGUAGGUGGUAGUGAGUCGAAAGGCAAGCGACCCUUCGGGGAGCCUACACAGGUGCUGCAUGGCUGUCGUCAGCUCGUGCCGUGAGGUGUCGGGUUAAGUCCCGUAACGAGCGCAACCCUUACCCUUAGUUACAAGUGUCUAAGGGGACUGCCGGCGGUAAGCCGGAGGAAGGUGGGGAUGACGUCAAGUCAGCAUGGCCCAUAUGUCCAGGGCUACACACACGCUACAAUGGUUGGUACAAAGGGCAGCAAAGCCGCGAGGUGGGGCGAAUCCCAACAAAGCCAAUCUUAGUUCGGAUUGCAGGCUGCAACUCGCCUGCAUGAAGCUGGAGUUGCUAGUAACCGCGCGUCAGCUAUAGUGCGGUGAAUACGUUCCCGGGGCUUGUACACACCGCCCGUCACGUCAUGGGAGUUGGUAACGCCUGAAGCUGGUAGCCUAGCUCGAGAGAGGGGGCGCCAUCGAAGGCGGGGCUGGCAACUGGGACG